AAACCAUGUUGUGGGCACAUCUGCAAGUGGUCCUUGAAUCGCUCCCAUGUCUCAAACAAGGAUUCAAGCUCCAUUUGAACAAACAAUGAUGUUUCAUUAAGAAGCUU